UGUUGCCCAGGAGAACAAGGGAGGAGGGGAAAACCUUUACCAUCUUAAAAUCCAACAAUCAAAGGAAAGAAUGGACGAUAAUCAAUUGCAUGUUCAUCAUUUUCUAACCAUCUUAACAUUCUAAACAUAAGGAAUUAAGGAAAAAAGCUCAAGUCGUUCCGGAUCGCAAACAAACAACGACAAAGGUUGUUAGAUUAUAUGGAUUUGGAACUUGCUGUCUGAAGUAGCUGGAGUGGUCAUGGGUCGUGCUAAUAGGAUACGAGCGGUGGGUUUAUUGGUUACAUACAUUUAAUUUGAAACAGUUAAACUAUGAUUUCUUUUAUUUGCUUCCGCUGGACAUGUUGGUUUUCAUUUAAACUUAU